rnacentral:rRNA from 1 species
AUAUGACAUACUGGCGCAUGUUGGUGUGUGGAAACUUUUUGGGUAGGGGAUGUGCUCGCGGCCUAUCAGCUUGAUGGUGGGGUAAUGGCCUACCAUGGCUUCGACGGGUAGCCGGCCUGAGAGGGUGACCGGUCACACUGGGACUGAGACACGGCCCAGACUCCUACGGGAGGCAGCAGUGGGGAAUAUUGGACAAUGGGCGGAAGCCUGAUGCAGCGACGCCGCGUGAGGGAUGACGGCCUUCGGGUUGUAAACCUCUUUCAGCAGGGAAGAAGCGAAAGUGACGGUACCUGCAGAAGAAGCACCGGCUAACUACGUGCCAGCAGCCGCGGUAAUACGUAGGGUGCGAGCGUUGUCCGGAAUUAUUGGGCGUAAAGAGCUUGUAGGCGGUUUGUCGCGUCUGCAGUGAAAAUCCGGGGCUCAACCCCGGACUUGCUGUGGGUACGGGCAGACUAGAGUGUGGUAGGGGAGACCGGAAUUCCUGGUGUAGCGGUGGAAUG